AUACGGAGGGUGCAAACGUUGUUCGGAAUUACUGGGCGUAAAGCGCGCGUAGGCGGUUUGUUAAGUCAGAUGUGAAAGUCCACAGCUCAACUGUGGAAGUGCAUUUGAAACUGGCAGACUUGAGUACUGGAGGGGGUGGUGGAAUUCCCGGUGUAGAGGUGAAAUUCGUAGAUAUCGGUAGGAAUACCGGUGGCGAAGGCGACCACCUGGCCAGAUACUGACGCUGAGGUGCGAAAGCGUGGGGAGCAAACAGGAUUAGAAACCCUGGUAGUCC
rnacentral:rRNA from 1 species